rnacentral:rRNA from 1 species
UUUAUUGGAGAGUUUGAUCCUGGCUCAGGACGAACGCUGGCGGCAUGCCUAAUACAUGCAAGUCGAGCGGACUUGAUGAGAAGCUUGCUUCUCUGAUAGUUAGCGGCGGACGGGUGAGUAACACGUAGGCAACCUGCCCUCAAGCUUGGGACAACUACCGGAAACGGUAGCUAAUACCGAAUACUUGCUUCUUUCGCCUGAAGGAAGCUGGAAAGACGGAGCAAUCUGUCACUUGAGGA